rnacentral:rRNA from 1 species
AUGGCUAAAGCCUUGGCCCUCAAAUUUGGUAUAACACUGGUGCAAAGGGCAGGAUGUAAUCGCCUUAUUAUUAACUUGGAUAACCUGGAGGUGAUUGAUACCAUGAAGGAUGGAGGACGGUUGAUGGGUGCGGCGGCGGCCAUAUUCGAUGAUUGUUAUCAUUAUGCUUGUGAUUUCAUAAUUACUAGAUUCGAACACUAUAAUAGAGAAGCAAUAAAAUUGUAUGAGCUCGCUAGAUUAGCUAGGUUUUCUUUGAUUUCUGAUUGGUUUGAGGAAUCUUUAAAUGAAAUUGUAAUGAUCCUCACAAAUGAUGUAUCGGUUAUUUCUAAUGAAUAA